rnacentral:tRNA from 1 species
UGUUCUGUGGCUUAGUUGGUUGAAGCGCCGGACUAGCGAUGCGGUGUCGUGGUUUUCGAAUCCCACCAAACCCG